AUUGAACGCUGGCGGCAGGCCUAACACAUGCAAGUCGAGCGAGCGGCGGACGGGUGAGUAAUGUCUGGGAAACUGCCUGAUGGAGGGGGAUAACUACUGGAAACGGUAGCUAAUACCGCAUACUAUCAGGUGUGCCCAGAUGGGAUUAGCUAGUAGGUGGGGUAAUGGCUCACCUAGGCGACGAUCCCUAGCUGGUCUGAGAGGAUGACCAGCCACACUGGAACUGAGACACGGCCCAGACUCCUACGGGAGGCAGCAGUGGGGAAUAUUGCACAAUGGGCGCAAGCCUGAUGCAGCCAUGCCGCGUGUAUGAAGAAGGCCUUCGGGUUGUAAAGUACUUUCAGCGGGGAGGCGUUACCCGCAGAAGAAGCACCGGCUAACUCCGUGCCAGCAGCCGCGGUAAUUC
rnacentral:rRNA from 1 species